AAAAACUACGCAGCGGUUAGUAAUCUGUAUUAAUUACAGACAAAAUCACACCGCUAAGAAACCAAAUAUGUCGCACCCAAAAACUUCUUCCCAGGAGCACCAGAGAUUAAACCCUCUGAGCAGUGCCGUGUCUGUGAGAAGUAGAGAUUCUGGUAGGAACUUGCCAAGCGAUCCGGUCCAUGCAGACUGCUGCGUUCGAUUGUUCGAAUCGUAUCUGUUCUGCCUACGGGCGGCAAAACAAGGUCGUGUUGACGAAAAUCGAGAACAACAAGUGAGAGCAACGAUUCGUGGAAAGAAAAGAUUCUCUUGCAUUCCUGCGCUGUUCAAAUCGGUAGAAUGACAUCUUCCGAAGAUCCAUUUGAAACGGCAGCAGGAGCUUCCUUCAAAGAUGAAUGUAGCAUUAAGUACAAAUUGUGAAAACAACGGUUCUUCCGGAAGUGCUAACAAGAAAGUGGAAGUUUUUGACUCUGACAAGCAUUCACUGAGGCAAAUUUGAAAGCCGCCGCUGGCUACCAGGAUACGGUCAAUGCGGUACAUAUUCAAAAUGAGUAAUUAUCCAGCUGAAGGACUCUGGAUUUUUGCAUUUCCUAAAGUAGUGGGAGGAAAUUUUGGUGUUAGUGUUCGCCAUGACAAUCUGCUUGCAAUAUCAUCCUGAAGACUAAUCCGAAUGGUCGAUUCAUACGGCAGCAUAUAAAUAUUAUUAUGAUCUACUCUCUGG